UUGUCUAAAAGGGCAUGGACAGAGGUUUGCAUACUGGACCGAAGAAUCAUCCCAACUCCUUCAGGGAACACUUGAGUCUGUCUUCAGGGUUUCAAAAUUAACCACCACCAAACUGUUGCCCAGCAGAAGAGUUGUGGUUGAAAUGGACAUUAAUAAGGUGCAGCAGCCAACCAUUCUGAGAGACCUGUAUACAGCGUGGAACUGGUACGCAGUCACAGAGACUAAUUCUGUGGGGAGGUGACAGCCUGCUUUUCUGCAAAUGAGCAAUGAUGACCAACAAAAUGCCCUCAAAAGGGUCAUGUGUGAUGAAUUCCCUGAGGCAAAGGAUGACUUUAUGCUUAUUUUUCAAUGACAAGAGGACAUGUAAACAUUUUUGUCCUACUGCAUUGAUGAAAAAGGCUUGA